CCGGUGCUGACGUCAGCCACGUCGCAUUCUCCUUCCGUCGGUGCAGCAGUGUUGGUGCGCCGGGCCACGUGAUUCCUAGGUUGGGAUAACUGGAAGGGGUCUCAAGUCGAAGACAUGGACGGCUUGCUCGGGAAAUACCUCUUCGGGAUGGUUGCUGCCGUACUCGCUACGCUGAUUAUGGCCCCAAAUGAAGCUGGGGCAAUUCCACCUUUUCUCUGGCCCACGGGACGAAAUGAAGACAAUGUCGAGUAACGAAGCAUCAGUCUUCGGGAUACAAUGGUGCUGGUUCACGUUCCCUUGACGACACCUGCUACGUAACUAAAUAAAAUGAAUGAAGCAAAAAUACCCUGGAAUGAAUAAACAGGACAUUA